rnacentral:rRNA from 1 species
GAUGAACGCUGGCGGCGUGCCUAAUACAUGCAAGUCGAGCGAACGGACGAGAAGCUUGCUUCUCUGAUGUUAGCGGCGGACGGGUGAGUAACACGUGGAUAACCUACCUAUAAGACUGGGAUAACUUCGGGAAACCGGAGCUAAUACCGGAUAAUAUUUUGAACCGCAGGGUUCAAAAGUGAAAGACGGUCUGCCUGUCAUUUAUAGAUGGAUCCGCGCUGCAUUAGCUAGUUGGUAAGGUAACGGCUUACCAAGGCAACGAUGCAUAGCCGACCUGAGAGGGUGAUCGGCCACACUGGAACUGAGACACGGUCCAGACUCCUACGGGAGGCAGCAGUAGGGAAUCUUCCGCAAUGGGCGAAAGCCUGACGGAGCAACGCCGCGUGAGUGAUGAAGGUCUUCGGAUCGUAAAACUCUGUUAUUAGGGAAGAACAUAUGUGUAAGUAACUGUGCACAUCUUGACGGUACCUAAUCAGAAAGCCACGGCUAACUACGUG